rnacentral:rRNA from 1 species
UACAGAGGGUGCGAACGUUGCUCGGAAUUACUGGGCGUAAAGCGCGUGUAGGCGGUCCGUUAAGUUGGUAGUGAAAUCCCAUGGCUCAACCAUGGAAGUGCUGCCAAAACUGGCGGGCUGGAGUGCCGGAGAGGGUGGCGGAAUUCCCAGUGUAGAGGUGAAAUUCGUAGAUAUUGGGAGGAACACCGGUGGCGAAGGCGGCCACCUGGACGGUAACUGACGCUGAGACGCGAAAGCGUGGGGAGCAAACAGG